UUCUACACUCAUCCCAUUUCAUUCUCACACUUGUCUAAAAAGGAGGGGGGUCUACCAUGAUGGCCAUUUUAAAGACGGGGAAACUGAGGCACAGAGGAAGGAGUCCCUUGGCCAAGUUCACAGAGGGGCAAACCGCAGGGUCAGGGCUGGUCUCAUUUCCAGGGCCAGGACUGCUAACCACCACCCUGCUGCCAGGUAGCCCCAGAAGCUUGCACAGGUUCGCUAAGCCAAAAAGGUUUGACGAAGGCUUGUGGAAUUUUCCUGUGGAUCCUGUGCCCUUUGAUUCUUAUGCCAGAUUACACACCGCAGAUUACGUGCAAGGACGCAGACAAUUGUGUCAGAGGAAGUCGUUAGAGGUACACAGGAGAACUUCGCAGACGGAGAUACUGAGGCCCAGAGCAGGGGGGAGACGCCCCAAGUAUCUCGUGGCAGGUUCAAUUUCUUCUCCGCCGUCACCAUCAUGAUCAUCUCGAAAUAAGAGAGAAAUCUGAAAACGUGAGCUGGGAAUAAGAGACUAUAAUGAACAGUCAGAUUUGAAAAUGAACCAAAGCAAACUGGCAGAAGUGAGAAAUACAAUACUUGUAACUUGGAACUCAAUGGACAGAUUGAACAGCAGAUUAGAUACAGCCAGAGAGGAGUGGUAAACUGUAGAGCCAAAGCAAUGGUCCAGGAGAAUAGAGUGAGGGGGCCUAAGGUACACCUGUUCAGAGUUCCAGAAGUAGAUCAUGGAGUAGGGGAACAGGCAAUGUAUGAAGAGAUAAUGGCCGAUAAUGUUGUAGAAUUGUUGCAAGUACCAAACCUCAGAUCCAGGAAGCCUGGCGAAUCCCAAGCAAGGUAAAUAAAAAGAAAUUUGCAUCUAAAUACAUAUUGCUGAAAUUGCAGAACAUCGCAAAAAAAGAGAAGAUGUUAAAAGCAUCAGAGGAAAAAGGGUCAUCUCCAGGGGAUCAACAGAUCUACAGCUGACUUCUCACUGUUAUCACUGGAAGCCAGAAGACAGUGGAAUUAUGUCUUCAAUGCCCUGAGGAAAAAUGACUGUCAGCAUAGGACUCUAGAGUGUCCUUCGAGAACGAGGGUGAAAUAAAGACUUAUGCAGACAAAUAAAAACUGUGAGAUUUUACCAUCCAGAUAUCCUCACUAAAGAAAAGUCUAAAUGUAAUGUGCUUCAGGCAGAAUAAAAAUUAUGCCAGAGAAAAGGCUAGGUACAUAAGGAAGUGUGGGCAAAGACAUUGGCAAAUAUUUGGAGAGAAACUAAAAAAACAUGGAGUGUACGACUCCACAAUAAUAGUGUCUAAUUUAUGGUAGGACAAAAACGGUCAGUACUAAAAUACUGGACACCACCAUGUAAUUUGGGGAGGGAUGGUCAAAAUUAAGUUUUUCAAUCCCUCCCAUUACUUGGGAGGAGGGCAAAUACAUUGAUUAAGUUUAAACUUUGUUAGUUAAGUGCUCAGUGUUGAAACAGCUAGGAGAAGCAGGAAGAACUAUUCACAGAAUGCAUAACUUCUAAACAAUUAGACAGAAAAAUUAGGAUAAGAAAAGG
rnacentral:lncRNA from 1 species